GUCUGAAACGGGGCUGCGAAAUGUGCUAGUUCCAACUCACCAAAGUGAAGAAAAUGGCAGCCAACUCAAACCACCGCCCAAAAAGCGUUGACUUCAGCAGUCAUGUCUCUGGGCCCAAGUCCUCCACACAGGGGCCCAUACGUGUCCACUUUCAGAUCGGGCUCCUCAAAGAGGAAGUACAGAUCCCUGAGAGACACCUCAGCUUCCAAGAGGCGAAGCAUCUCGCAGCCGAAAUCAUUGAGAGAAAGGCGCCGGAGUGCAGUGUCGUUGGUCUCGGCGAGAAGCUGCUGUUAUUCAGACAUGAGCCGAACACAGAGCAGAUCUUACUGAGACUCACUGAAAAGCAUGACAUACGCAAGUACACUCCAUUCUGUGUGAUUUAUAAGCGUUUUGAAA
rnacentral:lncRNA from 1 species